rnacentral:rRNA from 1 species
AACGAACGCUGGCGGCAUGCCUAACACAUGCAAGUCGAACGAGACCUUCGGGUCUAGUGGCGCACGGGUGCGUAACGCGUGGGAACCUGCCCUUAGGUUCGGAAUAACUCCCCGAAAGGGGUGCUAAUACCGGCUAAUGUCUUCGGACCAAGGAUUUAUCGCCUUUGGAGGGGCCCGCGUUGGAUAGCUAGUUGGUAGGGUAAAAGCCUACCAAGGCGACGAUACAUAGCUGGUCUGAGAGGAUGAUCAGCCACACUGGGACUGAGAGACGGCCCAGACUCCUACGGGAGGCAGCAGUGGGGAAUAUUGGACAGUGGGCGAAAGCAUGAUCCAGCAAUGCCGCGUGAGUGAUGAAGGCCUUAGGGUUGUAAAGCUCUUUUACCCGGGAUGAUAAUGACAGUACCGGGAGAAUAAGCUCCGGCUAACUCCGUG